rnacentral:rRNA from 1 species
UACGGAGGGAGCUAGCGUUGUUCGGAAUUACUGGGCGUAAAGCGCGCGUAGGCGGCUACUCAAGUCAGAGGUGAAAGCCCGGGGCUCAACCCCGGAACUGCCUUUGAAACUAGGUAGCUAGAAUCUUGGAGAGGUCAGUGGAAUUCCGAGUGUAGAGGUGAAAUUCGUAGAUAUUCGGAAGAACACCAGUGGCGAAGGCGACUGACUGGACAAGUAUUGACGCUGAGGUGCGAAAGCGUGGGGAGCAAAC